UGUUCUUAUAAAAAGGGGAAGUUUGGACAUAGAGACACAAAUACACAAGGAAAGCUCCAUGGAAGAUAAAGGCAGAGAUUUACAAGCCAAGGAAUGUCAAAGACGGCCAGCACACCACCAGAAGCUAGCAGAGACCCUGCUGAUACCUGGAUUUCAAACUCCUGGCCUCCAGAACGAUAAGUUACAGCAACUAUGAAAUAAAAGAACGGGAUACUAAAGGAAGAAAUUAUCAGGACAAGAAGAGGUCCUGGAAAGUAAAAACGUAACAGUAGAAUUGAUUGAAUUAGAGGGCUGUAUGAAAAUUUGAGGAAAUCCCACAAAAAAUAGAGUAAAAAGACAAACAGAUGGGAGACAGAGAAAAAACAACAGAAACGUAGAAGACUAGUCUAGCGGCGAAGUCCCUGGAGAGAGGACGUGAUGUCUGAAGCUAUGGCAGCCAUCUUGUAACUAUGAGGCCACAAACAAGAAAAGCAAAAACCAGAGUGAAGCAUGGCAGAGCAGAAAGAUGGAAAGAACCUGGAUACAUAAGAGUGUCACUGUGCAGCUGUACCCACCCUAGACUGCAUAUACCUGGACUUUAGCAUCUUGUUUGGACUUGUUUGUGAGCACCAAGGAGACACCUCUGGGGACUUACAGAUCUACUUGGACAGCACUUGACCAUGGACCUGCCCCCCAGCAGAUGGGGCAAGAGCCAGUGAAAUUUGGGUAUUUGACUGCAACCCUGUUUG
rnacentral:lncRNA from 10 species